GCCCGGGUGGCGGAAUGGUAGACGCUACGGACUUAAAAUCCGUUGGCCGGAAGGCCGUGCCGGUUCGAGUCCGGCCCCGGGUACCA
rnacentral:tRNA from 2 species